AUGUCGGCGAUGAUGGGGGCGCGGCUGGACCUGGCGCCCUUCCUCCUCUCCCCGUCGCCCUCGCCGCCCUCCUCCGCCCUCCGCCUCCGGACCUCCCCGCCCUCUCCGGCGGCGGCGGCGAGGACCCGCUUGCUCGCCCCGAGGGCUGCCGCCGCGGCGACCGCCGUCUCCGCCAAGCCGGCGGCGGCCGCGCCGCUGUCCGCCGACCGCUCCGUCGUCCGCCUCGGGCUCCCCAGCAAGGGCCGCAUGGCCGAGCUAACCCUAAGCCUCCUCAAGAGUUGCCAGUUGUCGGUGAGGCAGCUCAACCCGCGGCAAUACACCGCCGACAUCCCACAGGUUCCAAAUUUGGAGGUUUGGUUUCAGAGGCCCACUGAUAUUGUUCGUAAACUAUGUUCAGGGGAUCUUGAUCUUGGUAUUGUGGGUUAUGACAUAAUCAGUGAAUACGCGCAGGGCAAUGAUGAUCUAGUUAUUAUUCAUGAUGCUCUCGAUUUCGGACAUUGUCGCCUGUCCCUUGCGGUGCCAAAGGAAGGUAUUUUUGAUAGCAUCAAUACUCUGGAGGAUUUGUUAAAUAUGCCUCAAUGGACUGAAGAAAGACCCAUGCGUGUCGUUACAGGAUUUGGUUAUGUAGGUGCAAAGUUUUUGAAAGAAAAGGGUUUCAAACAUGUUUCAUUUUUAGCUGGUGAUGGUGCUCUCGAGUCAUAUCCUGCUAUGGGUAUGGCUGACGCUAUCGUGGAUCUUGUGAGUAGUGGAACGACUUUGCGUGAGAAUAAUUUGAAGGAAAUUGAUGGUGGAAUCAUUUUGGAAAGCCAGGCAACACUUGUAGCAAGUAAGAAAUCUCUGAACAGGCGUGAAGGUGUGUUAGAGAUUUCACAUGAAAUGCUUGAAAGAUUAGAGGCUCACCUCACAGCGUCUGGCAAGAUAAUGGUAACAGCAAAUAUGAGGGGCAAUAGUGCAGAAGAAGUGGCAGAGAGAGUUCUCAGCCAAACAUCAUUAUGUGGAUUACAGGGCCCAACUAUAAGUCCAGUGUAUUGCACACUUGAUGGCAAGGUUGCCGUGGACUACUAUGCUAUUAAUGUUGUAGUUCCCCAAAAGUCGCUUUACAAGUCUAUUCAACAACUGAGAUCUAUUGGUGGCAGCGGCGUCUUGGUGUCGAAACUGACCUACAUAUUUGACGAGGAGACUCCUAGGUGGCGCAAGCUUCUGUCGGAGCUGGGAAUGUGA
rnacentral:rRNA from 1 species